GACGAACGCUGGCGGCGUGCUUAACACAUGCAAGUCGAACGGAAAGGCCCUGCUUUUGUGGGGUGCUCGAGUGGCGAACGGGUGAGUAACACGUGAGUAACCUGCCCUUGACUUUGGGAUAACUUCAGGAAACUGGGGCUGAUACCGGAUAGGAGCUCCUGCUGCAUGGUGGGGGUUGGAAAGUUUCGGCGGUUGGGGAUGGACUCGCGGCUUAUCAGCUUGUUGGUGGGGUAGUGGCUUACCAAGGCUUUGACGGGUAGCCGGCCUGAGAGGGUGACCGGCCACAUUGGGACUGAGAUACGGCCCAGACUCCUACGGGAGGCAGCAGUGGGGAAUAUUGCACAAUGGGCGGAAGCCUGAUGCAGCAACGCCGCGUGCGGGAUGACGGCCUUCGGGUUGUAAACCGCUUUCGCCUGUGACGAAGCGUGAGUGGCGGUAAUGGGUAAAGAAGCACCGGCUAACUACGUG
rnacentral:rRNA from 1 species